rnacentral:misc_RNA from 1 species
UCCCGGUUGGCCCGGGCAGUCUCGCCUGAAAAAUACAACAGACGACAAGGGUUGCGCUCGUUGCGGGACUUAACCCAACAUCUCACGACACGAGCUGACGACGGCCAUGCAGCAUCUGUCACUUGUCCAGCCGAACUGACCCUCUAGUUUCUUAGAGGUGCGACAAGGAUGUCAAGCCUCGGUAAGGUUCUACGCUUAUCAUCGGAUUAAACCACAUGCUCCACUGCUUGUGCGGCUCCCCGUCAAUUCCUUUGAGUUUUAAUCUUGCGAUCGUACUCCCCAGGCGGCACACUUAACGCGUUAGCUUCCCAGCACAGAGGGUCGAUACUCCAUACUGGUAGUGUGCAUCGUUUACGGCGUGGACUAC